rnacentral:miRNA from 2 species
UCAUUGAGUGCAGCGUUGAUGU